rnacentral:rRNA from 1 species
UGGGGAAUAUUGGACAAUGGGCGCAAGCCUGAUCCAGCAAUGCCGCGUGUGUGAAGAAGGCCUUCGGGUUGUAAAGCACUUUUAUCAGGAGCGAAACGCUGUCGGCUAAUACCCGGCGGAACUGACGGUACCUGAGGAAUAAGCACCGGCUAACUUCGUGCCAGCAGCCGCGGUAAUACGAAGGGUGCAAGCGUUAAUCGGAAUUACUGGGCGUAAAGCGUGCGUAGGCGGUUUCUUAAGUCUGCUGUGAAAUCCCCGGGCUCAACCUGGGAAUGGCAGUGGAUACUGGGAGGCUAGAGUGUGUCAGAGGGUGGUGGAAUUCCCGGUGUAGCGGUGAAAUGCGUAGAGAUCGGGAGGAACAUCAGUGGCGAAGGCGGCCACCUGGGACAACACUGACGCUGAGGCACGAAAGCGUGGGGGAGCAAACAGGAUUAGGAUACCCUGGUAGUCCACGCCCUAAAGCGAUGCGAACUGGAUGUUGGUCUCAACUCGGAGAUCAGUGUCGAAGCUAACGCGUUAAGUUCGCCGCCUGGGGAGUACGGUCGCAAGACUGAAACUCAAAUGAAUUGAC